GCCAAAAGGACAGUGCCCACACAUUUAUUAUGGCUCCCACUGUGGCCUAUGAGCAUUUGACUUUAAAUUACAGAAGGAUUCCACCAUCUACCAGGUAGCUUGUGUGAAGAGAAGAAUGAGAAAACUUCCACUAAAGCUCAUUUGCUCCUUUCUCUUCCUUGUCCCCUCCCAAUGUCUUUUUUCUGAACAGAAGACAUGGAUCAAUAAAUAUAUAUGUUUCUGAUUCAAAAUGAUUAGGAUCAUGAAAACAGUCAUAGUUUCUUAAAUUUCCAGAGAGCCAAUUGUUCUUCAAACACCUCUGCAGAGUGCCCUGACAAAAGAAACUCUUUGGAUCAAAAUCAUGAAAACAGAAAGAAGUCAAGUGAACAGAAUAAGUCAACUGACAACCCAAAUGUCUAUCAGCAGGAGAAUGGAGCCACAAAGAGUGGUAUACCCAGAGCACAGCGAUGGAGCACUACACAGCAAUGAAAAAGAACAAGCCACUGAGACACGCAGCCACAUAUAGGCAUCUCACAGACCCAGUGUGGAGUCAAAGAAGCCAGGCACAAAAGCCUGCAUCCCAUGUGCUUCUGUUUAUGCAAAGUUCAAGAAUGGGAGAAACUAACAUGAUGCUUCAUUAAAAAUAUGAAUUAGAAGAGAAUAGAGAUAAAUUCAGUAAGAGGGAAAACAAGACGUGCUGCCAAGGAACAUGGAAUGGGAACUGAGUGGCUAGGUAGCGUGUCUUGCUGUUGGGGAGCAGGCUAAGCCCUCCCAACUUGCCCAAUGCUGCCAUCCUUGAUGAUGGAGGAGGAGGAGGAGGAGGAAGAGGAGGAGGAGGAGGAGGAGGAGGAAGAAGAAGGAGGAGGAAGAAGAAGGAGGAGGAGGAGGAGAAAGAGAAGAAAAAGAAAGAAGGAAGAAAGAAGAAGAAGAAGGGCUGACAUUGGAAGUGUCAGGCACUGCCGAAGUACUUCAUUGGCUUUAUCUCAUUUCAUUUGAGGUCAAGGUGGACUCUUGCUCUCCUAGUUUUCGAAAAGGAAAAAAUCGAGGCCCAAGGAGAUGAGGUCACUUGCUUAAGGCCACCCAGCUUAACCGCUGGUACUGGGAUUCGAACAUCACUACGUCAGACUCCACUGUCGCCAGUGAGUUUUCAGUGGAGAUGGAACCAGCUGUUACAGAUGAAACAGAAGCAGAAUUAAUCAUAGUACGGGGGCUGGCUAGGAGGAGAAGGAAGGAGGAGGGCUCAGCCAGGGAUGAAGUUGGGUUGAAGUUGGGUUGUAGAGUUGCCAAAGAAAAUGCAAGCCAUCCAGUCAAAUCUGAAUUUCAGAUAAACAAUGGAUAAUUUUUUUCAUAAAUAUGUCCCCCACAAUAUUUGGUACAGCAAGAAUGCUGGCCUCACUGCAUCUGACUACUUUCACUCUCACUCCAGGACCAGCUUGUGGUCCACUCCUCCAGGCAGCCUGCCCUGAUAGGCUCCCAACCCUUCAGGCUUCCCUGUGCAAUAUUUGGGACAUGCUUAUACUAAAACAUUAUUCAAUGUUUAUCUGAAAUUCACAUUUAACUGGGCAUCCUGUAUGAUUUGCUAAGCCUGACAGCCUUGGGGACUUAGCAACUCCCAUUAUUGGGGGACAUAUCCUGAUCACCAGAUUCCCUUAAUGAAGCUGUACCUGGCCUGCCCGACCCCAGUAACUAGCCCAGGCUUGUAUCAAAGACCAAUGAAUUUUCAGACUUUAUUUUUCUUCUGAAAGAACAGAGAAAACAUUCUCUUGAUACCUGCCAGGUAGCAGAGAGAGAACAAAGAAACACCCUACCAGUUCCUGCAAAUCAAUUGGUCUAAAAAAUGCCCCACAGAAAUAAAGAGGAAAAAAAGCAAACCACUUCAAAUGCUUCUUUGACACAAAUUCACGCUGUGACCAAUGGCUUUAUGCAGACUGUUAACAAACAGGUCAGGUUGGGGGAAAGCUCAGAGGACCCCAGCUUGGGUCCUUUUCCUUCUCAAAAACAGUAGGAAAAUAAACAACUACUCUUCUGCUGAUUCAUACGGAUAUUUUGGGCCAAAGCUCAUUAAAUGAAUGAGAAA
rnacentral:lncRNA from 10 species